CUUCACUUGCAGUUUUGUCUUGUUCUCUCUUUUGCUGCCAUGCUGCUCUCCUGCAGCCAUUUUGUUCUAUUGUAAUUUUGCUGUCUGCUGGGUCUCAGCCAGCAGCACACAAGUUCGGUCUCCAUAUGAGAUGAACUCACAGUUUCUUUGUGUAACUCCCAAGUAAAGUCUGCCUUUCAGGGAUCAAAUCAUGAACUGAAAUGUGAGCAAACUUUUUGUUACUUUACUCAGAAAGACUCUUGUGUCUUUAUUCUUUUAAGGGCGAUCAAAGGAGACACCAGGAAAUAAUCUAAACUAAGAGAUUCAAACGAAUCUGCAAACUAGCUUCCAGUUAUAUUGAGGGGAAUCUGCUCUGCUACAUCACUCACUAGCAUGAGUGAGGGAAGGAUAAUACUUAUUCAAUAUAUCCUUCCCUAGUAUCCUUAACAUUCCCACAAGGGGAGGAGAAAGAGGAUUCCUGCGAGGGGUGUAGCUACGACUGGCACACACCAGGGCAAGCUGGGGGUGGAGGAAGAGAGAUUAGGGGCAUAGAAUGUACCCACCAGACAGCAGAGGAUAGUGAGAGGACGGAUGUCAGUGCCCAGGAACCAGAGGAGCAGGACCAAUCACCAGAGCCAGAGGGGCCCCCUCCACAAACACAGUGAGCUCUGAGGCAUAGGGAGCAGAGAGAGGUACAUUCUGGCCAGGUGGGGCUCAUUAGCUUGGGGAGGAAGUGUGUGAUUCCUCAGCUGGAGCAGGCUCAGAACAGGUGGGGGGUCACAUUCCUCAUCAUGCCCAGAUGCUGCAAUCAACACGCCAGGUAUAAAAGGGAAGCAGAGCUGAGGUGCUGUGUCUUUUCCAUUUCCCAAGUGGAUAGACCUUGGCUUGGAUUUUCCAGGAACUCUAUGGUACUGUGUUUUUUGAGGGACUGUAUACACCAGUGGGGACUUGCCACCAGGUAUGCCAGAGGUUCAGAAUACCAGAUGGCGAUCCAACCACAUACUGACUACGAACUGUUAUCUUUGCAUUUGAAGCUCCAGUGUGACUCUCUACUUGUCUGAUACCUUUUGAAUUAUCUUAAAACAAAUCUUUAGAAUUGUGUUGGCUAUAUUGUCCACCAUUUCUUGGUACAUUGUGGUGCAGUUUCCACUUUGGAAAAAAAGUAUUUAAGAAGAUCAGGUACAGCAUAACAGAAAUCUGCUUGCAUGCCCUGCAUCCCCACUGAGGAUGCUGUGCCCAACUCCCCAAAGCCCUUAAAUUCUAGAGUUAGCACUGUUUUUAAUAUAUAUAUAUAUAUAUAUGGAUAUACAUAUGGAUAUAUAUAUAUAUAUCCAUAUAUAUCCAAAGCUGCAGAGUUUUGCCUCACAUCUGAAUUAUCUAAUAUAUACUUGGAGAAUGAUAUUAUUUCCCCCAGCAAAAUUAAUUUAGGGAUUGAGAAUUCUGUCCAAUGAGCAACUUUUGACUAAAUAUGCUUUGUACCAAUUUGUUUCCAUCCGUCUAUGGUUUUUGCUACACAAAUGGACCACGGUUUUGUUUGCUUUCAGCUACUCGUUGCUUUUAAUUGUUUGGAAUUCCAUAUGCUCUGCAGGUGUGAAAGGGCCCCCGUAGCUUUAUUUCUCUACGUGGUGUACAUUUCAGUAUUAAAGCUGUGCUAAUUACACAGGCAUAAAUUACAUUUUUGCCUGAUUCAUUUUUUUAACUGCUUUGGUUUUAUAUAACAUUGUUACUGCUGACAUUUUAGACGUUCAGGUUUAGGUGUUGGUUGGGUGUGUGUGUUUUUAAAAAGGAAAAUGUUACAAGUCCUUUCCCCUGCAAUUGAUUAUGCAGACAAUCCCACAUUAUAUGCAAUCUAUUUCUCAAAGACUAGCGGGGGGGUGGGGACGAAUAUACUACAAUUAGCAAUCUGGAAAAACACCACAAACCAGACACCUUAAGGUUUGUUCAAAGCAGAACUUUAGCUCUAGUGCAUUUGUCUGACUCAUGAACAUAGGUACCAAUUCAGCUAAAUAUAAAAAAAUAAAAUAAAAUACUCUUGUCAGAUUUUGUUGUUGUCCUGGCUCCUUGGACUAACUGCUUGUGCCCAGGUAUGUUGGCUUCAUAGUUCUGCAGCCUUUUAUUUUGACCAGCAAGUGUGCUUUGAUCUUUUAAUUAUUGUUAGUGAUCGUAUGUGACUUUGUAUGGUUUUACACUACUUUUUGUGCUGGUAUAGCUUUUAAAUUGAAUGUUUUAGUUUGCUACAUUUGUAUCCUAUUGAUUUUUAAAUUUGUGAAAGGCAUAGAGGACAUGGUUAAUUGGGUAGUAUAUAAAUGCAAGAAACAUAUUAGUUAGCUAUCAGAUUGGAGCUGCUUUGAGGGGGGAAAGCAUUGAACAGCAGUAUUCCUGCCAAAUAGAAGGGGAAGAAAUGGAGGCAGUGAGAGAUUUUACUUUCUUGGGCUCCAUGAUCACUGCCGAUGAAGAGUCGGACACGACUAAACGACUAAACAACAACAACAAAUUUCUCAAGGAACCACAGGAUCCUUGCAUCCUGGGUAAAUUUGUGUGUACACAGAUUUAAAAGCCAGUGGCAGAAAUGUACUGGAGCCAGAGUAAAUGGUAAUGUGUACACAGCCCUAGUUCCAGCUGGUUUUGUAAAAAUUGAACUUCAGUAGUACUAUGCUGAAUGCUUGAAACGGAGACCUGUUUACCAGUGAAGAUCCCAUGCUGUAGUUCCUGUUAACUAAAAUAAUUGAUGAGUGUGCAUUUCCUUCCUGGCUGAAAUUACUACUAGGAUGAAAGGUGUGUGAGCCACACUAGCAGAUGGAGUCUUGCUUGAGCUUCCUAUUGGCUGAAAGCUGCAGAGACCAAAAGGAGCUACAGGAGCCUCUUUGCAGCCAUCUGCUGGUUGGAAUAUAAAUUUACUGUUUGCUACCAGUUGUCUGAAGUAUUUGCAACACAUCCAAACUCAAGGCUGCAUCACCUCUUGAAAAUUUAUGUUGAAACACUCUCACGCAUUGUGUAGAAUAUAUUUCUUCAGCCAGUGGGUCAGGGCGCACAGGUGAAUUGCGAGGUCAUACUAGGUGGGUCACAACAAAGCUGGCGAGACCAAAAGAGUACUGCAUGCAUGUCCAGACUAGGAUGUGUUCUUCUGAGAAGAUGCUCAUUUUAUCAAUGUCCACAAGUGCUGCAGGAGAAAGACGGGAGCCAUAUUUUAAAAUGAGAUACAUAUUUUUGGCCAGCCAGAUGCUCUUGUCUUUCUCCUGUCACAUUGCAGGACUAGUUUUCAUUUAGUGGUAAUGCUGAGGUAACACUGUGUAUAUUGCUCUGAAAGCUACUAUUUAGGAUUAAAGUGCAUUACAGUGGUACCUCGGGUUACAUACGCUUCAGGUUACAGACUCCGCUAACCCAGAAAUAAUACCUCAGGUUAAGAACUUUGCUUCAGGAUGACAACAGAAAUUGCGUGGCAGCGGUGCGGCAGCAGCGGGAGGCCCCAUUAGCUAAAGCGGUGCUUCAGGUUAAGAACAGUUUCAGGUUAAGAACAGACCUCCGGAACGAAUUAACCAGAGGUACCACUGUAUUAGCACUAUUAAGCAUAAAUCAAAUGUAAAAAUGGGUCCCACAUCGCAGUUUGCCAGUCAAAGGUGGGUCUCAGAUCUCUACCAGUUGAAGGCCACUGGUGUAGAAUGUGCAAAGGACCCCUCCUCACUGAUGGCAUCAAUGAAGUGAGGUCAGUUUUCUUUGUGCCAGGAAUCUAGACAUUGUGAGGAGGUGGAUACUUUUGAACUUAGGGAUUUUUUUAAAAGAAAAUCGUAUUGUCUCCUGACAAAUCUCUAUGUGGGACAUGAAGCUACAGUUAGAACUGGAUAUGGAACAACUGAUUGGUUCAAAAUUGGGAAAGGAGUACGACAAGCCUGUAUCUUGUCUCCCUGCUUAUUUAACUUAUAUGCAGAAUUCAUCAUGCGAAAGGCUGGGCUGGAUGAAUCCCAAGACGGAAUUAAGAUUGAGGGAAGAAAUAUCAACAACCUCAGAUAUGCAGAUGACACAACCUUGAUGGCAGAAAGUGAGGAGGAAUUAAAGAACAUUUUAUUGAGGGUGAAAGAGGAGAGAGCAAAAUAUGGUCUGAAGCUCAACAUAAAAAAAACACACUAAGAUCAUGGCCUCUGGUCCCAUCACCUCCUGGCAAAUAGAAGGGAAAGAAAUGGAGGCAGUGAGAGAUUUUACUUUCUUGGGCUCCAUGAUCACUGCAGAUGGUGACAGCAGUCACGAAAUCAAAAGACGCCUGCUUCUUGAGAGAAAAGCAAUGACAAACCUAGACAGCAUCUUAAAAAACAGAGACAUCACCUUGCCGACAAAGGUCUGUAUAGUAAAAGCCAUGGUUUUCCCAGUAGCAAUGUAUGGAAGUGAGAGCUGGACCAUAAAGAAGGCUGAUCGCCAAAUAAUUGAUGCUUUUGAAUUAUGGUGCUGGAGGAGACUCUUGAGAGUCCCAUGGACUGCAAGAAGAUCAAACGUAUCCAUUCUGAAGGAAAUCAGCCCUGAGUGCUCACUGGAAGGACAGAUCGUGAAGCUGAGGCCCCAAUACUUUGGCCACCUCACGAGAAGAGAAGACUCCCUGGAAAAGACCCUGAUGUUGGGAAAGAUGGAGGGCACAAGGAGAAGGGGACGACAGAAGACGAGAUGGUUGGAUAGUGUUCUCGAAGCUACCAACAUGAGUUUGACCAAACUGCGGGAGACAGUGGAAGACAGGAGUGCCUGGCGUGCUCUGGUCCAUGGGGUCACGAAGAGUCAGACACGACUAAACAACUAAACAACAAAAUUGUAUUCAGAAGCAUU